CAGUAGCCACGGGAAUACGAAGGGGGCUAGCGUUGUUCGGAAUUACUGGGCGUAAAGCGCACGUAGGCGGACAUUUAAGUCAGGGGUGAAAUCCCGGGGCUCAACCCCGGAACUGCCUUUGAUACUGGGUGUCUAGAGUAUGGAAGAGGUGAGUGGAAUUCCGAGUGUAGAGGUAAAAUUCGUAGAUAUUCGGAGGAACACCAGUGGCGAAGGCGGCUCACUGGUCCAUUACUGACGCUGAGGUGCGAAAGCGUGGGGAGCAAACAGGAUUAGAUACCCCUGUAGUCCCUGUCUCUUAUAC
rnacentral:rRNA from 1 species